rnacentral:tRNA from 1 species
GGAAAGUUGGCAGAGUUUGGUUUAUUGCAUCGGUCUUGAAAACCGAAGAACAGUAAUGUUCCGUGAGUUCAAAUCUCACACUUUCCUCCA